rnacentral:rRNA from 1 species
GGAUUAGAUACCCUGGUAGUCCACGCCGUAAACGAUGUCAGCUAGCCGUCGGGGUGCAUGCAUCUCGGUGGCGCAGUUAACGCAUUAAGCUGACCGCCUGGGGAGUACGGCCGCAAGGUUAAAACUCAAAGGAAUUGACGGGGGCCUGCACAAGCGGUGGAGCAUGUGGUUUAAUUCGAAGCAACGCGCAGAACCUUACCAGCUCUUGACAUCCCUGGACCGCCACGGAGACGUGGUUUCCCUUCGGGGCCAGGUGACAGGUGCUGCAUGGCUGUCGUCAGCUCGUGUUG